GCCAGUGUGGUAUAAUGGUUUCAGUGUUAGACUACAGCUCUGGAAACCAGGGUUCAAAUCCCUGGCCAUGGAG